rnacentral:lncRNA from 1 species
UGGAGUUGCCUACUCAGAUGAGAGGUACACUAGAUAGUAGAUAAGAAACAGAGCGGCAUGUGAUUAACCGAGCGGGGGACAUCCCAACCCGGUGGAAUCGCAAUAGAUAUAUGCUGUCGGGAACUACAAGAACACUAUUCGACCUCUGUUUUACUGCAGCCUGUUGGGCUCUUUGGAAAGAGCGAAAUUCGAGGAUCUUUCGCAGUCGACGAGUUACGCACGAAGAAAUGGAAAAAUCCAUUAUGGCUGAAGUAGAGUUAUGGAGAUCCACCUGGGGGGAUGAUUGAGUUUGGAUUGUGGGUUUAACUUAUGUAAUUCAUUUUCCUGUAGGGGAUGAUUGAGUUUGGAUUAUGGGUUUAACUUACGUAAUUCAUUUUCCUGUAGGUGCUGAUUUUACUCCUUGUUCCACUGUACUCCACAAAUAGGGUAAAUCCCUGUUUAAUCAAAAAAAAAAGAAAAAAAAGAAACAGGGCGGCAUGAAAAUGGUAUCAGACUAACUAGUUGAUCUGAGAGUGACUUUCCAUUAUUCUUAGAUAAUUAGCUGAUGUUAGGUAACUUUCCUUUGCAGGAUAAACAUGAUAUAAUUAUCGGAAAAUUUACCUAAACUAUAUGGCUUAUUGAUGCUCAUAAUAUUGGCUAAUCGUCUUCAUGAUUGAGUUAAGCUAAGAUUUAAAGCAUAUAUCCAGGAUCUAGUCUUUCUAGCGUUUGUUCAAUAGACUAUAUUUUAUUUCGGAAUUUCUUAGUUAUCCCAAAUUCUUAUUUUAAGGGUUCUUUAUGAUGGGAAUAAAAGACAUGUUAGUACAUGAACAAAGCAAGAACCAAAUAUGGAAGCAGAAAAGUUUGGAACUGGACUAGGAUAGUAGAAUGUGAUGACAUGUUUGGUUCGAAGUCAAAAUUAAAAUGGCUAAAUGAUCUCUCUCUCAAAAAAAAAAAAAAAGGCUAAAUGUACUCGUUUGUUUUUGACUCAUUUGGAUGUUGUAAUUAUCAAACCUUGGCAGAGGUGGGUAAUAUGUUGGUGACAAGUUGCUUCAGGUGAUGCGUGCGGUGGAGGUACUAACAAAAAUGGCAGUAAGAAGAAGGUGGUCGCUAGAGGUGCAGGAGGUUGUAGAAUUAGUAUUGAUUUGUCAGUUUUGACAAAAAUAGGCAGAGGUUAAAGAAGUGGUAUCAGUGUUGAUGGUUACAUGAGGUGGUUGUCACGCCCCGAGUUCGCAAUGGAAGACUACGGGACGCUAACAGACCCGCCGAACGGACAGAAUUUUUCCUGUCCGGACGAAGCGGCAAAAAUAUCAAACAGUUUUCGAGAAUUACAAGAAACCAUCGGGCACAAUACAAGUAUUAAGAGGAGACAUGAAAAGCCAAAAGACGAGUAGCAGAGCACUGUACAUAAGCUGAACCACCGAACAACAAGAAAUUAGUAGUAAGAUACAAAAAUUCACGCCCAAAAUCAAGUACAAGCAAAUGGCCCUGGCCUGCGCCAGUCUAAAGAAAAGUACGAUGGCUCACAAUCUGGAAGUCUGCUACAGAUAAGUAUACUGGUAGGAUGGCUAACUAGGCGCAAUCCCCUUCCCUCGCUCAACUGAUGGUGCACCUAUCCCUGAAAAAGGAGGCCACAAAAGGGCGUGAGAACUACUAAUAGCAGUUCCCAGUGGGGACGGUCGGCGAUGACAACGACCUUCCCACUAGAUCUAAAUGAGCAAAAGUAACUAAAAGAGCGGUAACUAGAAAAAGAAAACAAAGUAAAACUGAAUCAUAGUGCAAGGUAAGAACUCCAUAUAUAGAGAAGUACACAGUAAACUAAAUACAGAGGACUAACAAGAAUUCAACUAGUAUUAUAGAUAUUCACCGCAUAUAGUAAAUAUGAAAGCAAUGUACUGAUUACUAGUGAAAUCAUAGGAUAGAAUAUCAAUACAAUUAUACAAUUACAACUCUACAAAUCAAGUUAUCUUUAUUUGGCCAUUAGAAUAAAGAAAUAUAGUCCUGAAACCCAAUCGCCAUGACCGACUCAUAGGUCUGGUCAAACCU